GAGUACGAUAAUCUGGUAACGUUGGGGCCCAUGUGUGCUCCCGCCAAGUUUGUCCUUUAUCAGCUGACGGGGCGGGACGUGACCCUCCCAGACACGUGCCCCGGCCUGCACUGAUAGUCCGGCAGGCUCAUCACCUCACAAGAUUCACCUGACGGCCACACGGGAAGAGUGCCUGGCAUGGGAUCUCUAAGGACUGUGAGUGCGGCUUCCCUGUUCGUCCUCGGGGCUGUUGUUGGGAUCUACGCUAUCCUAAGAUCACGGAAAAAGCCCCAGAAGAAAAAGAUGAUUCCUCGUCUCCAGAACCAUGAGCAGCUGAAGGAGAUGAAGUGGGAGUCUGUGGGCAAGGUGGUGAAGGUGUUCGUCUACCCCGUCAAGUCCUGCAAAGCUAUGUCUGUCCAAUCCGCAGACUCUGACUUCCGAGGGCUGGUUGUUAAAGGAGUGAGAGACAGAUCCUUUAUCAUCACCUCCGAGAAGGGAACGAUGAUUACCGGCCGCAUGGUCCCUGCCACUGUGCUAAUAGAGGCCACGUUCGACGGCACCAUUCUGACUCUCAACUACCCCGGCUCUGAGGAACUAACAGUAGACAUUGGCCAAGUGGAGAAGCAGGAUAAUAGGGAGAUUUUUAAAACAAAUGUCUGGGGGCAGGAUGUCUCUGGUUUGGAUUGUGGGGAGGCUGUGGCUGUGUGGCUUCAGAAUAUUUUGAGACGGAAGUGUAAGCUGCUGUACCACGCUGACCUCCCGGCCAAUCGUGUGUCAGAGCACCCGCUGGGGUCACGGUUCCCCCUGCUGAGAGACGAUGAUCAAUCCUUGUAUGCAGACUUCUCGGGCUACAUGCUCAUGACCACGGAGAGCAUAGCUGACCUCCAGGGCCGCGUCAGCUCCACCAUUGCUCCUGAGGAUUUCCGCCCCAACAUCCUGGUGGAGGGGACCAAGAAGCCGUUUGACGAGGACGAGUGGCAGUAUGUCAGGAUCGGGGAUGCCGUCUUCAGGAAUGUGGUGCCAUGUUCAAGAUGCAUCUUCACCACAAUAAGCGCUGCAACAGGCAAGAAGAAUCCCAGCAUGGAGCCUCUGCGUACUCUCAAGACAUAUCGCUGUCCCGAAGGAAUCGAUGACCCGUUCUUCGGCAUCAACCUUGGCCUUGACCUGCCCGGCCCGGUGAGUGUGGGAGACGAGGUGUUUGUGACUAGGGCCAAGGUGUCCUAAAGAGAUCUUGAUACACUCGGAUCUGCUGCAGCCAUUACAUCCACCCCUUCCAAUGCCAUGGACACCCAGAUGACCCUUGACCUCUUGCUGGCCCACAAGGGGAUUAUAACACCACCAGGAAGCUCUGCGUGUGCCUUUACCAUCGGCAGGAGGAGGCAGAAGAGGAAAUGAAGGAGACACGAGGAGGCAGGCUGUUAGGAACCCCACCAAGGAGCAGAGAGGAAGCCCUGACCGCUCCGACUCCUGCAGGUGGAGGAUGGCGUGGACAGCUUCCUUGAGUCUGCGUGGCCAAGGAUGUGCAAGAACAGCUGACCAUCACCCUUGAACAUGCCAACACACCCCUCUCUCCCAGACCUCACCCAACACCCUCACCCACUCUCAGAGCCAUGGAGAAUGAAAGGAGAAGGACAGUUGAUUUUCUUUAUUGGGUUCUGCAAGUUACAUGAAGGUGCAGCCAUAAAGCCAAGCGGAAGUUCGUCUGUGGCUUGUGAUUCCACCCAGUGACUCUCCCAGCAGUGUAGAGUUAUCC